rnacentral:rRNA from 1 species
CCCUUAGAUGUUCUGGGCCGCACGCGCGCUACACUGACGAAGUCAGCGAGCAUGUCCUACGCCGACAGGUGCGGGGAAUCUUGUCAAACUUCGUCGUGAUGGGGAUUGAUUAUUGAAAUUCUUGAUCAUCAACGAGGAAUUCCUAGUAAGCGCAAGUCAGCAGCUUGCGUUGAUUACGUCCCUGCCCUUUGUACACACCGCCCGUCGCACCUACCGAUUGAAUGACUCGGUGAAAAAUUGGGACCGUGAGUCUGUUUGCUUCAUUGCGAGUGGAUUGAUGGGAACUUUUUUAAACCUCGCCAUUUAGAGGAAGGUGAAGUCGUAACA